GGAUCGCAAGACCUUGCGCUUUUGGAGCGGCCGAUGUCUGAUUAGCUAGUUGGUGGGGUAAUGGCUUACCAAGGCUUCGAUCAGUAGCUGGUCUGAGAGGACGACCAGCCACACUGGGACUGAGACACGGCCCAGACUCCUACGGGAGGCAGCAGUGGGGAAUUUUGGACAAUGGGGGAAACCCUGAUCCAGCCAUGCCGCGUGAGUGAAGAAGGCCUUCGGGUUGUAAAGCUCUUUCAGCCGGAACGAAAAGGUCACGGCUAAUACCCGUGACAAAUGACGGUACCGGAAGAAGAAGCACCGGCUAACUACGUGCCAGCAGCCGCGGUAAUACGUAGGGUGCAAGCGUUAAUCGGAAUUACUGGGCGUAAAGCGUGCGCAGGCGGUUUUGUAAGUCAGAUGUGAAAUCCCCGGGCUUAACCUGGGAACUGCGUUUGAA
rnacentral:rRNA from 1 species